GACGAACGCUGGCGGCGUGGAUUAGGCAUGCAAGUCGAACGGUAUCAUCCUUUCGGGGGUGAGAGAGUGGCGAACUGGUGAGUAACACGUAGGUUAUCUACCCUCAAGACGGGGACAACCCAGGGAAACUUGGGCUAAUACCGGAUGUGAGCAACUUUUAGUUGUUUGAAAGGUGGCGUAAGCUGUCGCUUGGGGAUGAGCCUGCGUCCUAUUAGUUAGUUGGUGAGGUAACGGCUCACCUAGGCAAUGAUAGGUAGGCGGCCUUAACGGGUGGUCGCCCACACUGGGAUUGAGAUACGGCCCAGACUCCUACGGGAGGCAGCAGUCGAGAAUAGUCUACAAUGGUCGGAAGACUGAUAGUGCGACGCCGCGUGAACGAUGAAUCCCUUCGGGGUGUAAAGUUCUUUUAUAUGUGAGCAGUGCUUCUUAUAUUAACAGUAUGGGGAGAGAGAUAUUAGCAUAUGAAUAAGCAACGGCUAACUCCGUGCCAGCAGCCGACGGUAAA
rnacentral:rRNA from 1 species